rnacentral:tRNA from 1 species
GGGUGAUUAGCUCAGUGGUAGAGCGCUUCGUUCACAUCGAAGAUGUCGGGGGUUCAAAUCCCUAAUCACCCACCA